AGGAAGAGGAGGCGACCGUCUCUCCCACAGAGGAAUCAAAGAAGAAGAAAACGAAGAAAAAGGUCAAGGAGGAAGAGGGAGAUUAAUCUGGUUGGGGAGAAACUGUAUUAUAUUAGAACUUUUAGUUGUCGUUGUAUCUACCAUGGACAGACUGACUCGUGUAUCUGACCAUUUAAAGACUAGAGAACUGGAGACGGAGGUUAUUUCAGAAUGACCAGCAGCUGAUCUGUUAUGAGACUUGAUGAUGGUGUAUAAAUCCUCCUGUGGAUUUGAGUUUAAGAUGAACCUUUAGUUUACUGUAACCUCUUAUUAUUACUAAUCAACUAAAGACCCAAUAGACUGUCUACAAUAUCAAUGUCCAUGUUAAAACACUUCCUUCCUCCACUGGUUUAACGAUGUGCCUUUUUAAAGAUGGGUUUUAUCUGCUGUGUUUGUCCAUAAGUGAUUAAAUCAAUUUUCUCAGUCA